rnacentral:rRNA from 1 species
UACGGGGGGAGCAAACGUUGUUCGGAAUCACUGGGCGUAAAGGGCGCGUAGGCGGCCCGCUAAGUCGAACGUGAAAUCCCCGGGCUCAACCCGGGAACUGCGUCCGAUACUGGUGGGCUUGAAUCCGGGAGAGGGAUGCGGAAUUCCAGGUGUAGCGGUGAAAUGCGUAGAUAUCUGGAGGAACACCGGUGGCGAAGGCGGCAUCCUGGACCGGUAUUGACGCUGAGGCGCGAAAGCCAGGGGAGCAAACGGG